rnacentral:rRNA from 1 species
UACGUAGGGGGCAAGCGUUGUCCGGAAUCAUUGGGCGUAAAGCGCGUGUAGGCGGGACGGCACGUCGGUCGCUGAAAUCCCCCGGCUUAACCGGGGAACGGGCGCCGAUACGACCGCCCUGGAGGGACGUAGGGGGACCUGGAACUUCCGGUGGAGCGGUGAAAUGCGUUGAGAUCGGAAGGAACGCCCGUGGCGAAAGCGAGGUCCUGGACGUCUUCUGACGCUGAGAUGCGAAAGCCAGGGGAGCGAACGGG